CAUUAUUUUUUUUUUUUUUUUUAUUUUUCCUUUUUCCAAAGCGAGAAUGGCACAAAAACAACGAGAAGCUGUUGAAGAGGACCAAGAAGAAAA
rnacentral:ribozyme from 13 species